AGAUCCCAGCGGGUCCUCCCCGGGAAGGCCCCGCGUUCCCCGGGCCGGCCCCGCUCCCCCGGCCCUUUGUCCGGGCCGGCCCCGUCCCCAUGGAAACCCGGCCGGGCCCGGCGGAAAGGGCCGGACGGAGGCACAAAGAGCGGGGCGGGACCGGGACGGGCACGGGGCACGGCCGGGCCUGGAGCUGCUGUGAGCCCGCGGGCCGCGUCCUGCUCCGGGGACUGCACCGGGAACUGCUCCGGGGAAUAACACCGGGAACUGCACGGGGAACACCGGGGAACCGCUCCGGGGAAUAAUACCGGGAACUGUACUGGGGAACUGCACCGGGAACUACUCCGGGAACUGCAUCGGGAACACCGGGGAGCAACUCCGGGGAACUUUACCGGGAUCAACCAAGGAGAACUACACCGGGGAGCUACACCGGGUACAUGGGGAAACACCGGGAAACAACUGCAGGAAGCACCGGGAAACAACCCGGGGGAACACCGGGGAACAACAACGGGAAACAACCCCAGGAACACCGAAAAGCACCGGGGAACAACCCCGGGAACACCGAGAAACAACUUCGGGAAGCCCUGGGGGCACCGGGAACACCGUGAAACAACCCCGGGAAGCACCGGGAACACCGGUGAACACCGAGAACCAAGCCCGGGGAACACCGGGAGCACCGAGAAGCACCGGGAAACACCGUGAACCAAGCCCGGGAAGCACCGGGAACACUGAGGAACACCGUGAACUAAGCCCUGGGAGCACCGGGAACCACCGGGAACACCGAGAAGCGGCCCCGGGAGCAGCGGCCGGAGCGGCGCCGGCCCCGCAGCGAGCCCUGAGGAAAAGGCACAAAUGUUUCUUCAUUAAAGCCCUGAUUGACAGCUUGCUGAAAGGAAACCCACGGCAGCCGCUUUCCCUUUCAUUCCUCUGCUCAAACCUCAGGUUCUCGCCGUUAUUCCACCCCGACAAGCCGAGCUGCCCUCCCCAUUGAGCUAAAUCCUCUUUCAUCUUUAUCCCUCGGCUUCUGCAGCGAGGAGGAGGAUGCUGUGAUGCUGCUGAGAUGCAGCGAGGAACUCUGCUCCAGGAUUUAGCUCUGCCCAGAGCGCCGGGGAUGCUGCGGAAAGGUUGCCAGAGAGGCGGAUACCAGCCUGCAUCCAGCUUUUUGCUGCAUCCCCGCUGCCGAGCGAGAUAUGGAUCAUCCCUGGGAUUAUUCCUGCCUGUCCCUGUGCAGGGAGGGCACUCUGGAGGUGCUGCUGUGCCAGGGAGGUGUCGAUGGGCACCGGAGCCAGCGGGCGCUGCGGAUUUUUCAGUUCUGGAGCCGACGCUCCCCUCACGGUGAGGUCUCUGUGGCGCAAUGGACGAGCGCGCUGGACUUCUAAUCCAGAGGUUCCGGGUUCGAGUCCCGGCAGAGAUGAUCUCCAGGCAGGUGUCUCUUUUAUUUUGGU
rnacentral:lncRNA from 1 species